AGUUCCAUAUUGUGAAUCAGCAAUUCUCACUAUUGGUACAUAGUCCAACACUUGCUAGUUGCAUUCUAGGUGGAAGUAUUUCAAAGAAACAAGUUUCUCUGAUAGACUAAUAAUAGACCAAAACCCGAGCAAAUUUCAAAGCAUGUCGCCAACCACAACUCUUUUUUGUGUGUAAAUGUUCACUGGUAAAGUGGUAAUUAAUGAACGUUUUGAAUUUUGAUUAAAAGCUAUAAGACCAUCUCCAACGAGAGGAUGUAAUCAAAAAAUUGUUGGGCUCUCUUGUUUAAUGACAAUAAAAAUAAAUUAAAACUGAUAAAAAUCAAGAGAGUCGGCUUUCUGGAGAGAGUUUUGAGAAUUUGAGAGAACCGUCGAUGUGGCAACAUGUGAUUGGGUUUUCAAUUUCAACAAAAAAAUAAAUGUGUGCGCGUUCUGUUCUAUCUUCUUUCUCCUCUCUGCCCAAACGAAAUUGACCAAAAGAUGCAAAGCCCAAUCAUCGUUUCUUCUGAAAACUUUUCGCAUUUGAUAUCUUUUCUUUGAAACUGAAAUCAAGAUACACAAACUGAAACCAAUUUGUUCACCAAAAGAAAAUAAAAAUGCGUGGGUUUCGAUUUCAAAGAUAUUCAGGAAAAGAUCUCCGAUAGCUUUCGUCUAUGGCAACACUCUUUUCAAUUCUGGGUUCGAGCUUCGUGGUUUUAAAAGCUUGUAAUUUCGUGUGAUCAAGCUCCUGCGACGCCGUUUGAUGCGAUUCAACUUUGAAAAUUUGAUGAAAAGCCUCUUGGUUAUGCUUCUAUUGCUCAGGUAUUAUAGAUUAUGGUGGAAACUUAACAAUUAAGUAAACAUGAUUGAGUUAGAGUAUUUAGGAGCUUGUAAAGCAGAAGGUCUUGGUGAUGGACCCAUAAUGAAGCUGUAUAUUUAUGUUGUAAUUGAGGAAGAUAAUCUGGUCAUAAUGCUUUCUAGAAUUAGCUACUCUUGCCGUAGAAUUAUUAUCUCUUGACGUGGAAUUGUAGCAACAUUGUCAAACUCUGGUUAUGUUUAUACUAAGACAAUAUCAUUUAUUUGCUUUCUUAGGUUCACAGAGGAAGUAUAAAGGGUAACAAGAUGAAUGUUGUUGUAAAGGUGAACAUUAUCGGAAGUUCUAGAUGGGGCUGAAGCCUCUGCUCGAGCUAUGACAGAGGUCGACCCCAAAGGAAUUUUCAAGUCCACGGGUCUGUUUUCCUUUUACUGAUCACUCUGUUUUUUUUCCUUUAACUUAUCUAUGGAGUAAAUGUGAAGCCAUACUAGUCUCAUUUGAGCCCUCUAAAAUGCAGGCUAUGGUAACUAUUUGUUUAUGCUUGCUCCGUCAACCAAUGAAUCAUUCAGACAAAUGGUCAUUUCCGAUGCAGUCUCUGUUUUGAUGCCGAGGUAACUGAGAUUACUUAUGGUAACUCUAUGGUUCUUGAUCAUGGUUGGAUUGACACUUUGAACAAGAAAUGGGAUUUGGUUCAUUGCAUUGAGGUUAGCUUAGGUUUGGCUUUUAAUAAAGUUUCUAUUUGAGUGGAAUUGUAAAAUAGAAUUGAUGUCUAGUACGUGUUUGAUGAAAUUCCUCUAAGAGUGAACCUUAAAUCGUGUGUAUUAAGCUUUGUUUCUUGAUAAACAACUAAUGAUUUAGAGUUCUCUUCACGUUAUUGUGAUGG
rnacentral:sRNA from 1 species